UACGUAGGGGGCAAGCGUUGUCCGGAAUCAUUGGGCGUAAAGAGCGCGUAGGCGGCCCAGUAAGUCCGCUCUGAAAGUCAGGGGCUCAACCCCUGAAUGCGGGUGGAUACUGCUGGGCUAGAGUCCGGAAGAGGCGAGUGGAAUUCCUGGUGUAGCGGUGAAAUGCGUAGAUAUCUGGAGGAACACCGGUGGCGAAGGCGGCAUCCUGGACCAACACUGACACUGAGGAGCGAAAGCCAGGGGAGCAAACGGG
rnacentral:rRNA from 1 species